UACAGAGGGUGCGAGCGUUGUUCGGAAUUAUUGGGCGUAAAGGGCGCGUAGGCGGCGCGGUAUGUCACCUGUGAAAUCUCCUGGCUCAACUGGGAGCUUGCAGGCGAAACUGCCGUGCUGGAGUGUGGGAGAGGUGCGUGGAAUUCCUGGUGUAGCGGUGAAAUGCGUAGAUAUCAAGAGGAACACCUGAGGUGAAGACGGGUUGCUGGGCCGACACUGACGCUGAUGCGCGAAAGCCAGGGGAGCAAACGGG
rnacentral:rRNA from 1 species